CUUACAGUUACCAUACUCUCUCGUCUUCUUCCCCAAAUUAAACUGUCUCAGCUUUCUCUAACCUCAUCAGCUCAGCUCACCGUCUCAACAGCUUCCCGGGCGCACCCAGUAAACCGAAAAUGUAAUAACACUCACUCUCUUCUCUUCUUUUUCCUUUGUACGUUGGCAAACGUUUUCUUCUACUAAAUUCAACUCGACAGUGAACAAGAGGACGUGGUUAUGGAGGUGGCCGAGGAAAUGGUGGUCGUGGUGAUUUCAAUGGUAGGUCGGACUUUGGAAACAGGAAUGGGAACCGAGGAGGAGUGGCAAACCGUGGAGGGGAUGGCUAUCAGAGAGCUGAGAACGGUGGACGCAUGACUGCAGCAAGUGCAAAACCUGCAACAGUUCGGGCGCCACUGCCACCACCUGCGCUUACCGUUGGGAACUAAGCUUAGAGUGGUUGAUUUUGUUUCGAAGAUCACUGAUUUAAUGUCAAAGCUGUUUUUGAUACUGCCAUUAAGGUUGUUCUUCAACCUCAAAGAAGGAAGGAGAUGGUUCGGAAGAAAAGGCAUCGACGGUCUGGUUGCUCGAUUGCGACCCUAGUAUGUGGAGGCUGUGAGGCUUAGCACAGAUUAAAAGGCCAGAGUAGAUGAUUCUUCACUCACUUUUGGAAUGGAAUAUUGGUUUGUAGUUUUUAAGGGGUUGCUCAACAAGCAAGGGCUGAAUUCUGAUUAUUAUUACUGGAUAGCUAAUGAUGUUCUUUUUGAGUGUAUUAUAAUAUAGUUUUGACAUAGUUUACACACCAGACAGAAAGUAAUGAAGGGAAUUGUUCAUUCUCUUAUCUUUUCUACUGGGUAAAUUAUGUCUCAACACAUAAUAUGUUUUUUCUGCCAAAGUAGUACCACUACUAUUCUCUCUAUCUCUCCUCUGUGUAUCCCAAUAUAUCUUGUAUUUUUCUUAGUAUGCCUUUUGAGCCUAAUGGAAAUUUGUUGCUUGGGUUGCUCAAAACCAGUGAAGGACGCCUCGUCUAGUGUUAAACCCUCCAUGCCAGCGGCGGCUACGAGUAGUUCAUAUAGGUAAAAAACUAGCUUACUUAUAUAUGAAUUGAUCUUGCUUCUCUCUUCAUAUAGUGGUCCAAAGUAGCUGCUUGUGUCUGGAAGAACAUGAUAUCCUUAGUUGGAUUGAUUUUGGGAGUUGGGUAUAUACUCGUGCUAAAUUAAAAUGAGGUAUUGGCUUUCAGAAGACCCUUUCUUCAUAAGGUUUUAGACUAUGAAGAUGAAUUCUUUGCUUUGUUGAUGCUUGUUCUUGAGACUCAUAGCUUACGGACUACAGGUUAAUCUAUAUUUUCGUUCCGAUUAUAUAUAUUUUCUUUUUCCUAUUUAUUUGCUGCAAAAUGUUCAAUUGUUCAAUGUUGAAUUAUUUUUGAAAUCGGAGUUGUAAUUUUGUUUUGGAUUGCCUACAAAGUUAUAAGAAAAUGAGUUAUUCUCACUGUUUUGAUGAAUAUGCACAUAGGGUAUUGUUGUGGGGCUUCAUAAUUUGGAUGGUGUAAUUCCUAUAAUAAGAGAAUCUUCAAGCAAUGCAGUUGCAACAUCUGGUCUAAAAAAUGCAGGCUAAGGCAGCUGAAACUGUGUCAGAAAAUAGGAAAAACUAGAUCUUAAAUGUUUGUGAAUUGAGAUUGAAAUGAAAGAAAUAGUUUGGAGUUACGAUGAACUUGUGAAGAUUCUUCAGGUGAUAGCAUCAAGGCAAUUAGUGGAACUUUUACUGUUGUAGAUCUCUUUCUGUUGCAAGAUAAUCAAAGAAAGUUUUUUGGUUUCUAUACUUUCAUAUUGGGCUUCCACUUACAUAUGGGACUUCAUCAGCUUCUUAUUUCCUUUCUCUUUUGCAAUUGGUCUUUUUAGUAUAUUUGGUCUGGAUCAGUUUAUCGGAAGGGAUUAUUUCUUGCAAACAGUCAUCAUGUUUUUGGGAUAUGGUUUAGCUGUUGCAUCGUCAACAUAUUGCCUUUCUUUCUUCUUUUCAGACCAUACUAUGGCUCAGAAUGUAGUUCUCUUGAUCAACUUUUUCUCUGGACUCAUUCUUAUGGUCAUAUCUUUCAUUAUGGGGCUUAUUAAGUCAACUGUUAGUGCAAAUUCUUUUCUCAAGAAUUUCUUCCGACUAUCUCCAGGGUUUUGCUAUGCUGAUGGGCUUGCAUCACUAGCUCUUCUGCGUCAAGGGAUGAAAGAUAAAUCUAGUGAUGCAGCUUUUGAUUGGAAUGUAACUGGUGCCUCUAUAUUCUAUCUUGGUGUUGAGCAUUUGUUACUUCCUGUUGACACUUGGGCUUGAACUCUUGCCUUCCUACAAGGAAUGGUGGAGUAUAAAAAGUUUCCGACGUGAUGGUUAUCCUCAUUUAGAACCACUUUUGGGAUCCUCUGCAGAAAAGGUUGCUCUUGACUUCGAUGAAGACACAGAUGUGCCAAUGGAAAGAAACAGAGUACUUUCAGGUUCCGUUGAGAAUGCUAUCAUUUACUUGCGUAAUCUUUCACAGAUCAUGCCUAUAGAUGCUCAAAGAAUGCUUUAAGAGUUUGAGGGGUGUGUGCUUUUAGCUUUUGAGUUGGAGCUAGAUCAUUUUUUUUAUGUUUGUUUGCCUAAUUUAGUGUUAGUUUUUUUUUUGUUCAGUUAGUUUGGUUUGUAUUGGGGUAACUUUUUUCUGUUUUCCAUGUUGGCAACUCUGAUUCAUGGAGUUUGUUGUUAUAGUUCAUAGACAAUACAAUUCAAGCAAGGACUAUGUAAUUGAAUUUUUUAUGAUUGCUAUUGUAAUUUUUAUGUAAUGAAUAAAUGUGUUCAAUAUUA